UACGUAGGGUGCAGGCGUUAAUCGGAAUUACUGGGCGUAAAGCGUGCGCAGGCGGCUCCUUAAGUCGGAUGUGAAAGCCCCUGGCUUAACUGGGGAAGUGCACCCGAAACUGGGUAGCUAGAGUGCGAAAGAGGGUCGCGGAAUUCCCGGUGUAGAGGUGAAAUUCGUAGAUAUCGGGAGGAACACCGGUGGCGAAGGCGGCGACCUGGGUCGACACUGACGCUGAGGCGCGAAAGCGUGGGGAGCAAACAGG
rnacentral:rRNA from 1 species